rnacentral:rRNA from 1 species
GACAGAGGGUGCAAACGUUUGUUCGGAAUUACUGGGCGUAAAGCGAGUGUAGGCGGUGUGGUAAGUCGGAUGUGAAAGCCCCGGGCUCAACCCGGGAAGUGCACUCGAUAACUGGCCACGCUAGAGUAUCGGAGAGGUUGGUGGAAUUCUCGGUGUAGAGGUGAAAUUCGUAGAUAUCGGAGGAACACCAAUGGCGAAGGCAGCUCGCUGGGACGUUACUGACGCUGAGAGCGAA